rnacentral:lncRNA from 1 species
CCCCAGUGGUGUUUGGCGAGCACUCCCUCCUCGUCACCGUCUCGGGACAGAAACUCUUCGUGGUCAAGCGCCACCACCACGUGCAGGAGCCGGUGGCCGUGUGAGAAAUGUCCCCAGAGUGUCCCCAAAGUGUCCCCAAAGCGUCCCCAGAGGAGGAGGAGGUGGCAGCGCCGCCCUGUCCCCCCUCCUGCUGUCCCCAAAGUGUCCCCAAAUCCCCCCCGAGGGGACAAUAAAUGGCGUCCCAGGGUGGCUUUGGUGGCUUUGUGACCUCCUUGGGGACACCCGGGUGGCAUCAGGGGACAUCCAGGUGACAUCCAGGACACACCAGGGACAUCCAGGUGACACCAGGUGACAUCCAGGUCUCUUUAUUGGCAAUAAAUAACAGGGACAGAGGUGCCACCCUUGUCCCCAAUGUCCCCAACCCAGGGGUGGCACUGCAGGCCCCUCCCGUCCCCUCCCCCACUUUGGCUCGGGGACACUUCCCCGAUGUCCCCAAAUGUCCCCAAAAUCCCAAACGCGGGCACGGCUCCAGGCUGUGUCCUCAAGGUGUCCCCAAGGUCCCCUCCAUGGCACGUGGCAGUGGCAGUGACCCCCCCCCCAUUGUCCCCAAUGUCCCCAAAGUGUCCCCAAGGCUCUGGGGGUGGCUCUGUCCCCUUGGUCCCUGUCCCUGGCACAGUGGGGACACCGGGGGUGGCCUUGUCCCCAUUGUCCCCCUGUCCCCACUGUCCCAGAGCCAUUGCUGCCACUCUGGCAAUGUCCCCAAGGUCCCAACGUUGUCCCCAAGCUGUCCCCCACGAUGUCCCCAAGCUGUCCCCAGAGUCCCAGCGCUGUCUGUGCCACCCCAGCAGUGUCCCCAAGAUGUCCCCAAGGUUCCAGUGCUGGCCCCACUGUCCCGGUGGGGUCCCCACGCUGUCCCCUGUUGUCUUGUCACUGUCCUGUUGAUGUCCCCUCACUGUCCCCUCCCUGUCCCCGCUGUCACUGCACGGGUGGCACCACGAGCACCUUGCACUCCCUCUUGGCGAUCUUGUCCAGGGCCAGCACGGCCUUGUCCCCCGCGGGCAGGUACAGGGGGCGGCCCACGGGGGAGCCCACGGGGGGCGUGAUGGCCCUGCGCUCCAUGA